rnacentral:lncRNA from 10 species
AUUAAUAGUGCAACAGAAAUAGUCAAGAUGUAACUACAGCUAAGAGAUAUAGUUGUGAUGCAGGAGAACAUUAUCAUUGUUUCUAGUGGAAAGAGAUCAUCUUUCAGUGGAUGUAAACCCUUUUCAGAGAAAAGGGUUUAAGAGGUAUUUUCAAGUUUAGCAACUUUUAGAUAAAUGGAGAAAGACAGUGAAUAGGUGGUUGUAAGAUAGAUAAAUAUUUAUUUACGGAAAACUUAUGAGAAAUUAGGACAGGAAUGUACGUUGAGAUAAUGUAUCUCAGGACUUGAAUGCCAAACUAAAGAUUUUGGGCUGUUUUCUAGAAAAUGGAGAAGAAAAAAGCAGUUAAAUAACUAGAUGAAAGUAGUGGUUUCGGGAGAUAAAUGUAAUCAUAGAUGAUUUUAUAUAGAUGUGUGUGUGUGUGUGUGUGUGUGUGUGUGUAUGUAGAGUACAAAAGUUACUACAAAUUUACUACAAGAAGAAAUACUGAGGGUAAAAAGAACAACUGGGAAUAAAGACUGGUACAGAGACAUAGUACUUUUUUACAAUAAUAAAUGUGUAUUUUUCUAUACUUUGAAUUACAUAGUGGCCCCUCCUCCCCAUUCCAAUAAUA